rnacentral:rRNA from 1 species
AUUGAACGCUGGCGGCAUGCUUUACACAUGCAAGUUGAACGGUAACAGGUUAAGCUGACGAGUGGCGAACGGGUGAGUAAUGCAUCGGAACGUGUCCGAUCGUGGGGGAUAACGCAGCGAAAGCUGCGCUAAUACCGCAUACGAUCUGAGGGUGAAAGCGGGGGACCGUAAGGCCUCGCGCGAUCGGAGCGGCCGAUGUUAGAUUAGGUAGUUGGUGGGGUAAAGGCUCACCAAGCCAACGAUCUGUAGUUGGUAUGAGAGGACGACCAGCCAGACGGGGACGGAGACACCGCCCAGACUCCAACGGGAGGCAGCAGUGGGGAAUUUUGGACAAUGGGCGAAAGCCUGAUCCAGCAAUGCCGCGUGCAGGAAGAAGGCCUUCGGGUUGUAAACUGCUUUUGUGCGGGGCGAAAAGGCCCUCUCUAAUACAGGGGGCUCAUGACGGUACCGUAAGAAUAAGCACCGGCUAACUACGUGCCAGCCGCCGCGGUAAGAC